UUUCAUUGGAUACUAAUCCUUGGAAGGAACAAGACACCAAAAACGUACAACAACCUCCCUAGAUUCAUCAAGCAAUGUAUAGCACAAAUUCAUACGUAUUGCAAAAACAUUUCGGCCCUUUAAGCAAAACAAUAUUCCAUUCUUGUUCAAGAAUUAGUAGGAGCAAGAGUUGUUCUUGGAGAGCUCAAGUAAAUGUUGUUGAUGAAUAUAUCAAGUGAGGUAUGAUGUCCUCUCCUACAGUUGCAAGAUUAAAUCAGCAACGUGAAUUCUUUUGGCAGGCAUCAACGUGUUUUAUUCUAUUUUAGGCGGAUUGGAGGUUUCUUCGAACCGAAGAAAGGUGGAAGAAGAGUAAUUAACGGAAUAUAAGGUACAGACGCACAGGUUGGUGAUCUACCCAUUUAGGACACCCUCUUCUGCUGUUUGGAGUGCUCUUCUCAUUUCAGAGCACACAUUUUGGUAUAUAUUCGUUCGCUAUGUAUAUAUGUAUUUGUUCAGGGGCACGGCGGGGCCCUGUCCCGCCAUAUGAUUCGGUUUGUCUGUUUAGAGGUCUGUAGACGUAUUUGUGGGUGUGUGUGCCUACUUCUGUACGGAUGUGUUUGCAUGACUCUAUUCGUUAUGGCAGUCUCGUCGGCGUGCAUUUUAUAUAUGUUUGUGGCAGCCUUGUCGGCGUGUAUUUGUAUAUGCGUUUUGGGCCGUUGUGCCAUUUGACAGCCUUGUCGGCUUUUGACAUAUUUGAUAGCCUUGCCGGCUUUUUGAUAUAUGUGCAUAUGUUCGGCGAUGUAUAUUCCGCCGCCUCUUCUGAUUCUGAUAUAA